CAACUGCGAAAGCAUUUGCCA
rnacentral:siRNA from 1 species